rnacentral:lncRNA from 1 species
UGUUUUUGUUCUUGUUUUUGUUUGUUUUUGACAAAGGACUAUAUAAGAACAGAUUUCUGUUUUGUCGACUUACAGGUCUUUGCCAUAGCUAAUCGAUUCUGUCAUUCAGAGUGAUAACAGCCAUAAGGAAUUGGAUGAAGCUGCCUGUGACUCAGCAGAACUGAGCCCUGAGAGGCAGAAAUUCAAUGCAGCACCUGUCAGGGAUGCUCCACCCCACAUGAACCAUCAAGAACAAUCCUGUCAGGGCUUUGGAUGGUCCUCCGGCUUCUCUGGCUUUCUACCCAAGGUUCAAAGUUAUAACUAUCCUUGAGGAUCUUCCUCUGUCUACUAGAACCUAGAGGUUGGAAAUAAAGUAUUGAGAAUUUACUUGUAAAUAUUCAUGGUCAUGAGUCUGGCUCAAGUCCUCUGGCCUCUGCUCCAUCAUCAAUACUGGAUCAGCCUCCUCUUGGAUGUCCUGUUGUUUCCCUGUGUCAUGGAGAUCCUGCAGCUUUGGAUCCACAGGACCAGCCUCUUCAUGCUCUCCAGCAGUUCAUAGAUGAGGUAGAUGUUGCAGUGGACCAACUCAGAGCCCUGGAUAUUAUAAGCCUGCUUGGUUAUAUUCCCUCACGUGUGCACAUGCAUCUGCCACACAGAAACACACACCAAAUACUACAGAAAAGGGUUGCUUUGGAUCUAUUUAGACUUCUCAGUAUUUCCGUACUAUCCAAUAUACAAUAAAGAUUGUGCAAAAUCAGUUUACAUGUGUGCAAUAGGACAUCAUUGGUGUUUAUCGUUUCUAUGACCGCAUUCCUUUGCAAAUAAUA